UGGGUCUUGAACUUACUUAGGACAUGUUAUUCCUUUCUUUCCUAUCUCUUCCCUUCAGAAUGGGAAGGUCUAUCCUAUGCCUGUUCCAUCAUUGCAUUUUGGAAGCACAUAACUUGUUUGUUUCACAGUUCACAGGUGGACAGCAAUGUGCCUCAGGAUAAAAUAUACCUUGGAGUCUCACCCUUAUCUGAUUUGGAUAAUAUUUAUAGAUGAGACUCUGGACUUUAGACUUUGUAGUUGAUGCUGGAACAAGUUAAGACUUUUGGAGAAAUUGAAAUGAAAUGAAUGUAUUUUGCAUGUGAGGAGGAUAUUAAUUUGGGGGGGCCAGAGUUGGAAUGCCAUGGUUGGAAUGUUUGUGUCUCUUUAAAGUUUAUGUGUUGAAACCUAAUACUCAAUGCGAUGGCAUUGAAAGAUAGGGCCUUUGGGAGGUAAUUGGGUCAUGAGGGCAGAGACUUUAUGACUGGGAUUAGUGGCCUUAUAAAAGAGGCCCAAGGGAACUUGUUUGCCUCUUCCACUAUGUGAAGACACAGCUAGAAGGAGCCAUCUAUGAGGAAUGGGCCCUCACCAGACACUAAAUCUGCUGACAUCUUGAUCUUGGCCUUCUCACCCGCCACAACUGUGAGAAAAAAUGUUUGCAUUUUAUAAUUCUAUAAUAUUCUUGUUAUAGCAGCCCAAACAGACUAAGACAAAUGACUAGACAACAAGUCAGAAAGGAUGCAGAAGAACUGAACAACACAAGCAACCAACAGAAUCUAAUUGGCUGAUGAAGUUGCAGGCAUUCAGUUUUCACUGGGAAUGUCCUCCAGACGGAUGUGUAAGAAGGCCAGGGUCAGGCUUCAGGAGCACCUAGGCAGGUUCACACUUGACACCUGUCACUCGUCACUCACCCGCCAGCCCACUGCCUGGUCAACGUAAGGCUGUCUCCUUGCGGAGACUGGCUCAGCACUGAAGUAAUGGAGCUGUCUUUCUGUCUGUCUGGCUUGUGGUUUAGAGCAGGAAAGAUGGAGGUGAGGAAAAUGUCAAUCAAACUGUCUCUUUUGCAAAGAACAGAGCAAGCCCUGCCACGUGCUUGGGUCAGAGUAGAAUGAAUAUGGAGAAGUGCCUCCUCCUUGGGGAGAUUCUGCAUGGUUUCCCAGGCCGUAUCGACUCUCCUGGAUUCCUGUGCCACAUUCAGCCGAUUAGGACAGCACAGCAGACAUUGGUUGAGUGCCUACUGCUUGCAGAACGCAAUGUCUGCACUUCCCAUGUUAGCUAUGGUUUAUGUAUUCAAGCUUCCCUCUACUGAAGAAAGCCCAAGGAAUGUCCAACCCAGGAACAAACCAGAGUGGUCAUGGGUCAAAGCAUCCUUCCUGCCAUCUGGGCCAAGAUAUAGGACUCAAAGCUUAAGUCACGUGAACCACCCUGUGUGUCAUGAGUUGAUAAGUCUAUAAACAGCCUCGCCCUGGCGCCAUGAGGGGUGGCUUAUGAUUAACUUGUUAGAGCUGCAAUGGCAGCUCCACACUGAAGGGCUCAAGAAGAGUGAGGUGACCUUAGCUGCCUGGAAAUGAGCUGUUGAAGGCGGCUGAGGUUCUCCCUGACAGGAGGGGCCCUGCUGACGGGACGUUUCUUCUCCAGGGGUCACAUAGCAGCUGGCCCAUCCCCAUUUUACAGAUCAUGAAGGUCAGGGUCAGAAAAGUUUAGUGAUUUGGCUAUGGUCGGGAGACAGGCAAAGAAAAAUAUGAAGAAUUUUUUCUUCUAUGGUCCCCUUUACCCCCUGCU
rnacentral:lncRNA from 10 species